UACGAAGGGGGCUAGCGUUGCUCGGAAUCACUGGGCGUAAAGCGCACGUAGGCGGAUUGCUAAGUCAGGGGUGAAAUCCUGGAGCUCAACUCCAGAACUGCCCUUGAUACUGGCGGUCUCGAGUCCGGGAGAGGUGAGUGGAACUGCGAGUGUAGAGGUGAAAAUUCGUAGAUAUUCGCAAGAACACCAGUGGCGAAGGCGGCUCACUGGCCCGGUACUGACGCUGAGGUGCGAAAGCGUGGGGGAGCAAACAGG
rnacentral:rRNA from 1 species